ensembl:lncRNA
GGCAUUUGAUAUGCUACAGCUUGCCGAGAGGCUGUAUUCUUUAGUGUGAUCUUUUUGUACUUGUCGGGCAUUUUAUAUGCAACAGCUUGCCGAGAGGCUGUAUUCUUUAGUGUGAUCUUUUUGUAGUUGUCGGGCAUUUGAUAUGCUACAGCUUGCCGAGAGGCUUUAUUCUUUAGCGUGAUCUUUUUGUACUUGUCGGGCAUUUGACAUGCAACAGCUUGCCGAGAGGCUGUAUUCUUUUGUGUCAUCUUUUUGUACUUUUUGGGCACUGUAAAUAAACCGGCACCAUUUUUGCAACCUUCAACUCUCUGAGCCGACAACUGCUUUUUGACCAACUGACUCCUUGGUUGCGUCCCGUCCCGCAUGUGAGUUGGGGGUUCAAUACCUCUUUCUCACAUAUACUUAAAUAAUGUAAUCUUGUGAGCGAGUAAAUUGACAGUGGAAUUUAACACCAGCUACGUCCAUGCAAAAUGCAAAAUAAAUCUAUAAAAAGCAAUACGGUACAAAACAUUUCUGAAAACUAAUAUAACUUCACUUCAUUUGAACGUGUACUGCUCUGCCAUUUUCAAGAACCCGCCCAGUGAACGCAGAGGAUUGUGGGUAGUUUUGGCUCGUCUAGGAUGCAGCGAUGCAUCCUUGAAAGAUCUCGGAAUUCUCAAAAACAAAGGACGCAAAAAUGGCGUGGCUUUCAAGUGUCCUCAACAUUGGAACAGUGCUUGUCGGCGUUCUAUGACGUAGCGUCCUUAAAAGGGCGGCUGUUGAGCAUGCUUCCUUGACAUUGGGAAACAGCCUCUCUCUCUUUCCACUGAGGCAGGUGGGCAUGGGUUCUGUUUAGGGUGGUUCCUUAAGGGUUUGGACCUUUGGAUUGAUUCCAUGUUUUGUUUAAUGUUAACACUAUUCAACAUCCCCACAGCACACUUUCCACUGCCCAUAUACAUAGGCUAAUCGAAAGAAUUGUGUGUUUGGUCAGUAGUUCAGUUGGUUGGUCAUGUAUGUUGGUUUGCUGAUCAGGUUUGGUUUGUUGCAUUUUGUUUGGGUAUUUCCAACAUGGUAAAGAUGGUUUGUUGUUCCCAGUAUUUGUUUUGUCUGUCUGGGUUAAGUUUCCUCCGUUCUGGCUCGGUCGGUCCUUGUGAUUUUGGUACUGGUUUUCUGUCCACCAUAUAAUCGCACAUUUUCUAAUCUUCCAUACGCUACACUAAUCCCUUUACAGAUUUCAUGAUACUUACUUUAUUCUAAUAAAUAACUUUAUCCCUUAUGUGUGGAUCCCGAUCUUUGCUCUGACCCGAGCCUCGUCUUAAUGCAGCCAAGGAGAUGGAAGAGCGUUAUGAAUAAUUAUUAGAUGAUUGUGUUGUACAAUGAAAGACAGUAAAGAUUCAAAUUUGAAUGGCAAAAUAAGGAUCGGAUUUUAUUUGAACAAUAAAAUAUGUGUUGGGCAAAUUAGAGGCUGAGAUUAUAAAUUUCAUAUUCAAAAGGCGAAGGGGUGAAAAAAUUUAAGAAAUAUAUUUAAGAAAUAUAGGCCUACUCAAAGCCCAACUCAUUGAUAUCAUACCCUAUCCAAUAAUAAAGAAAUUUGAAUUGGAAUGGUAACAAUUCCGUUAAAUCCUCGUCCUCGUUUUGAUAGUCUCACUCAUGGCCGAUCAGUGUGUUCUUUCUGAUUGGCUCUUAAUUGAGAUCACCUGUCACGCUCCCCUUUAUUAAAGGUGAACACAAUGGGUUUGGUUUACUUUUCGCAUCGGCCUGUGUCAAUCAAGGUUGAGUUUAGUGAGGGUUGAAAGUUUUCGAUUUAGAUUGCAGAUCACUAUUGUCACUUUAUACAAACUGAAAGUAUGCGUUGUUGCGUGUUUGUUUUUGUGGGCAUUUGACUGAACAGCCCAGACAAAUAUUGCUACCAACAUGGCACUUCGAAACAGACCACCGCAGUGUUAGAUGACUGACAAGAUCUAUGGGGGGGCCCCCCUUUGGGCCCCCCCAUACCAACUUAGUCUUCAAAGGAAUCUAGUGCCAUGGGACUCCAGUGUCUUCAAAACAUCCUCGGAAUACAUGUGUAUGAAUGGUCCACCGAAGGGUUGAUCUGGAAGCCACCACGGUCCACGCAGUAAUCUGCUGCGUGGGCCGUAGUGGCUUCCAGAGCCAUCUUUCGGUCUUGGUCAGGAUUUGUUACAGUUGCACUUCAAUGUAGCAGGCUACGGGUUUCUGAAGAAGCCUGCUUUACGUAGCAUUGGAGUACAAAUAUUGUGCAAAAUGCUCAUGUAAUUGCACUAGCACUGGUAACCUGUAGAUUAGCUUAGUUUAACGUCAUUCGGUGCCGUCUGUCAAAUGUGUGGCUUACUUUAAGUCCACAAGGGCCUCUGGUAAACCACGUUGGAACACCCCCUGGACAAGGUGAUUAGUCACUGGGUGUGUGCUAAAGUUUUGUUCCAUUUUUCACUAGUUGGUUAAGGUUUGGUAGAAUUGUUUGGAUGCUAGCGACGUGAUGGCGUAUGUACAUGAGCCUACCGGGGCCAGGCCACAGUUGCGACGGCCACGGCCAGAUGGCCUAGUGUGAGUGCAACCUUGAUUGCAUUUGUAUACUGUUUACCAUUGGAUGUUUAUGCAAUUUGGCUUAAUUCAUCCGCUGUAAAGCUGCAUUUGACUAUUCCAGGGUCGUUUUGUACAGGCUUUCAAUUGACCAUGUUGACUAGUUUGUGGGAAGUUUUUUUUUUUUUUUACCCUUGCUUGCAAUCCAACGGUUGCGACCACUUGUGCAACUGGGCUGUGAACCUUGCAAUUCUAGUUGUAUAUUUUCUAUCGCCAUCACUAACACUAGCUUCAGCAUUUCCUUGUAGGCCAUUAGCUGACUUGUGUAUUGGAGCGAUGAUUUGGGUAUUUUAAUAUGCUUGAAAGCAAAAUGCGUGUCUGGUGUGCAAGAGCCAAUUUGUUGGCUUGCAGUAGUCGAGGAGCUGCCGUAGGUCGUAAGCCAUCUGGAGGUUGUGGCAAUGGAGGCUUGUGGUAGAUCUGCCAUCCAAGAAAGGUUAAUUCUUCUGAAGCAUGAUUAAUAGUUUAGUAAAUUGAAUCUAUUCGUAUAGAACUAUAAAAUCCAAGACUGCAGCCAGUAACUUGGAUCACAAUAUGUGGAAAGUAUUGGUCUUCAUUUGUAACAGAAUAAUUAACAUGACUAACUGGGUUUCUUCCAUUUUCUAACUAGGGGGACUUGACUGGUGAGUCUACUGGAUUAAUCAGUAGCGGUACUUUGCCCAACAGAUUUGAUGGCAUGACUACAGGGUGACAAAGACAAUUAUUCCCUGCCUAUCAAAAGAGAAUUCUAAAACAUAUCUGCUAGAACAGUUCCUAUACUUUUGUAUAAUUUGGUGAUGCUGCAAAUGUACUUUUGUAGUUGCUCCAUAUUUAGUUCUUUGACAGCCUCACCUGCUAGAAAAGUCUAUUCAAAUCGGCUAAAUAUAAUGAACUAAAUUAAUAGCCAUGAAAAGUUGUCACUCAUACUAAUGGCAAAUACCCCCUUUCAGUUGGUGGUUCAACACUGAUGUCUCUCUGAGCUUGAGGGAGAGCUCACAAGUAAAUUACAUGAAUGUCCUGGAGCAAUUGGGAAUACACUUUUAUUUAGUCUACCUGACCAGGGACAUCUUUGAACUAUAGGUCACCUAACCCAAACUUUUCACUCUUGUUAGGUUGUCCUUUUCUCUUGUUUUAACCCGAAAGGGCUGAAAAUAUCAACAUUUCAGGUAUUCUGUUUGGAUAAUGUGCAAAACUUGUGGCUUCACUAAUAAAAAAAAAUAACGAAUUUAUUUUUCUUAAUGUGGUUAAACUAUUUAAAGAUUUGUAUGCAAAAUAUUUCUGCUCAAUUUGUAGUCAAUGAAACUCAAUUUUUUUAAUUUGAUAAAACAUAACUAUGGGUUAAAGGUAUUUGCUUUGGGCAUCUUUUGAUAUUUUUAGAAUCUAGCUCCAUUGCCGUUAGAAAUGGUGUCUCCCAGUACUGCAAAGUGCUUCCACAAGUUUAAAAAAAAAUGGGCAGAAAAGGAACUGCCAACUAAAUCUAUUUAACAUUGGUAGAAAGUUUCCAUGGAAGCUCUUGGCUGCUGGUUCCCAACACGGCUCCACUGUUAGCCUGUGACCUUGCGUUUAACUUUUUUGGACUUUUGGUGACUUUCACAAGAGAAAUUAACUGGUUAAUACAAUAAACAAGACAUUUGAAACUUCAGCUGCAUUUUUAUCUAUUUGUACUGCCUUUGAUUUCAACCCGUGACAUGUUUGUCAGGUGAUAACUAUGUACCUGUGACCGCAUAUCAUGGAACCAUUUUGAACUGUUUGUGGAUAUUGCAUUAUCCAUAUGCUUGAAACUUUUCAAUAAUGCAUAUCAACGAAACAAUGGAAUGAAAUAAAUAGUUCAAGCAAUUUGUGGGACUUGGCUGCUUUUACAUUAUUACUCAUUUUGGGGGUUAUUUCAGUCUCUCCAACCUGCAGGUCGUGCGAAGAAUCAUAAUGUGAAUGGG